CCUACGGGUGACAGCAGUGGGGGAUAUUGCACAAUGGAGGGAACCCUGAUGCAGCGACGCCGCGUGGGUGAAGGAGUGCUUCGGCAUGUAAAGCCCUAUCGGCAGGGAGGAAGCAAGACGGUACCUGACUAAGAAGCCCCGGCUAACUACGUGCCAGCAGCCGCGGUAAUACGUAGGGGGCGAGCGUUAUCCGGAUUCACUGGGUGUAAAGGGAGCGUAGACGGCCAUGCAAGCCAGGGGUGAAAGCCCGGGGCACAACCCCGGGACUGCCCUUGGAACUGUGCGGCUAGAGUGCGGGAGGGGCAGGCGGAAUUCCUGGUGUAGCGGUGAAAUGCGUAGAUAUCAGGAGGAACACCGGCGGCGAAGGCGGCCUGCUGGACCGCGACUGACGUUGAGGCUCGAAAGCGUGGGGAGCGAACAGGAUUAGAUACCCGAGUAGUC
rnacentral:rRNA from 1 species